UACGUAGGGUGCAAGCGUUGUCCGGAAUUAUUGGGCGUAAAGAGCUCGUAGGCGGUUUGUCGCGUCUGCUGUGAAAACCCGAGGCUCAACCUCGGGCCUGCAGUGGGUACGGGCAGACUAGAGUGCGGUAGGGGAGAUUGGAAUUCCUGGUGUAGCGGUGGAAUGCGCAGAUAUCAGGAGGAACACCGAUGGCGAAGGCAGAUCUCUGGGCCGUAACUGACGCUGAGGAGCGAAAGCAGGGGGAGCGAACGGG
rnacentral:rRNA from 1 species